rnacentral:tRNA from 1 species
GGGUAUAUAGCUCAUUGGUAGUAAAGUGCAUGCUUAGCAUUCAUGAGGUCCUGGGUUCAAUCCCCAGUGCCUCCA